GCUAUGGCAAAGGUGGCAAGGAUGACGAAGUUCGUACGGAG
rnacentral:SRP_RNA from 1 species